AUUUGCAUUAAUUUCCAGACCAUAAAUCUGAGCUAAAGUCAGAGGGGUUGUUGGAUUUCUCUUCUUAUUACUCCACAAAUCAGACAAUAUAGAUCAAGUGCAAUAAAAUAUACACUUUAAAGUGUAUUCGGGAUGCUUUCUUUCCACUAGUCUGAAGCAAAAUAGAUUAAAAUUUCAUUGUACAGGAGCAAAGUGACUUUUGUUACUGUUGUGCAAUAAACAGUUCUGGUACUGCAACUAAAACAUUUAUUUUCAAAAAUGCAUGAUGAUAAUUAUUUAAAAAACACAUUUAA